UACGUAGGGCGCAAGCGUUGUCCGGAAUUAUUGGGCGUAAAGAGCUCGUAGGCGGCCUGUUGCGUCCGCUGUGAAAUCCCGGGGCUCAACCCCGGGCCUGCAGUGGAUACGGGCUGGCUAGAGGCAGGCAGGGGAGAACGGAAUUCCUGGUGUAGCGGUGAAAUGCGCAGAUAUCAGGAGGAACACCGGUGGCGAAGGCGGUUCUCUGGGCUUGUACUGACGCUGAGGAGCGAAAGCGUGGGGAGCGAACAGG
rnacentral:rRNA from 1 species